GCAAACACAGAGCUGACAGGAUCGUCCACUGUAUCAGGAGAUUGUAAAACAGGGACGGGGAGAAAGCAGUCUCUUGGGUAGUUUCUGUGCUCCUUUAACAUGGGAAGAGAAGAAGGGCAAACAAACGCUGGGGUAGUCUCUGCCCAGCUUGGUUUGCUUUCUGCUUCUGAGGGAAAAGGAGUGCUGGCUGGACUAUUGCAAACCAGCAGGAGAGAAGCACGUGGAUGGCAUUAUAGCUCUUAUUCAAGGAUUCUCAUUUGAAAGGCACCUACAGAAGAACUCUAUUUCCCAGGGACCAGAUGCCUCUGAACUUAAGGCCUUCCAUCAUAUUCGGCAGCUAAGACGCUCUUCUCUUAAAAGCCCCCAAACAGGGCUUCCCUGGUGGCGCAGUGGUUAAGAAUCAGCCUACCAAUGCAGGGGACACGGGUUCGAGCCCUGGUCCAGGAAGAUCUCACAUGCCAUGGAGCAACUAAGCCCGUGCACCACAACUACUGAGCCUGUGCUCUAGAGUUUGCGAGCCACAACUACUGAGUCUGCGUGCCACAACUACUGAAGCUCACGUGCCUAGAGCCCAUGCUCUGCAACAGGAGAAGCUACGGCAAUGAGAAGCCCGUGCAGCGCAAC